CGGCGAGGUGUUAAGUAUGAUAGCGCGAUGCGUAAAUGUGAUCUAAUGAAAAUAAUUGACGAGUAAAACACGGAGAAACAGUACACAAUUGAUAACAUAUUACAGGAAAAUGGACAUAUCGUGCUUCGCUUGCCCCCAUACCAUCCGGAUUUAAAUCCAAUAGAACUCGUGUGGUGGUACGUAAAAGUCGAGCUUGCAAGGACUUCCAUUGAUUCUAACUUGGAUAAAAAGUUAAAAGAUUUAGAAUUGCUUUUUUCUAAUUAUUCGGUUGAACAUUGGCGCGAUUGUGAUAAUCACGUCAUAAAAAACGAGGAAAAAUAUUAUAAUUCAGAUAGAGUAUGCGACGAUGAAAUGGACAGAUUCAUAAUUCAACUGAAUGAAAACGACGAUGAUGAUGACGACGAAAGUGAUGAAGAAGAUCAAACAGAGAGUGAACAGGAAAGUGAUAUGGAAAUUGAUUUAUAAUAAAACAUUCUAUCAUAAUUUUAGUUUUUAUAAUUAUUUGCACUC